rnacentral:rRNA from 1 species
AACGAACGCUGGCGGCAUGCCUAACACAUGCAAGUCGAACGAACCCUUCGGGGUUAGUGGCGGACGGGUGAGUAACACGUGGGAACGUGCCUUUAGGUUCGGAAUAACUCAGGGAAACUUGUGCUAAUACCGAAUGUGCCCUUCGGGGGAAAGAUUUAUCGCCUUUAGAGCGGCCCGCGUCUGAUUAGCUAGUUGGUGAGGUAAUGGCUCACCAAGGCUACGAUCAGUAGCUGGUCUGAGAGGAUGACCAGCCACACUGGGACUGAGACACGGCCCAAACUCCUACGGGAGGCAGCAGUGGGGAAUCUUGCGCAAUGGGCGAAAGCCUGACGCAGCCAUGCCGCGUGGAUGAUGAAGGUCUUAGGAUUGUAAAAUCCUUUCACCGGUGAAGAUAAUGACUGUAGCCGGAGAAGAAGCCCCGGCUAACUUCGUGCCAGCAGCCGCCGUAACAC